rnacentral:rRNA from 1 species
UACAGAGGUCUCAAGCGUUGUUCGGAUUCAUUGGGCGUAAAGGGUGCGUAGGUGGCGCGGUAAGUCGGGUGUGAAAUCUCGGGGCUUAACUCCGAAACUGCAUUCGAUACUGCCGUGCUUUGAGGAUUGGAGAGGAGACUGGAAUUUUACGGUGUAGCAGUGAAAAUGCGUAGAUAUCGUAAGGGAAGACCAGUGGCGAAGGCGGGG